UACGUAGGGUGCGAGCGUUGCCCGGAUUUAUUGGGCGUAAAGGGCGCGUAGGCGGCCACGCACGUCCGUUGUGAAAUCGCCCGGCUCAACUGGGCGGGGUCAGCGGAUACGGUGUGGCUCGAGCAAGCUAGGGGGCAAUGGAAUUCCCGGUGUAGUGGUGGAAUGCGUAGAUAUCGGGAGGAACACCAGUGGCGAAGGCGGUUGCCUGGAGCUUUGCUGACGCUGAGGCGCGAAAGCGUGGGGAGCGAGUCGG
rnacentral:rRNA from 1 species